GACGAACGCUGGCGGCGUGCCUAAUACAUGCAAGUAGAACGCUGAAGAGAGGAGCUUGCUCUUCUUGGAUGAGUUGCGAACGGGUGAGUAACGCGUAGGUAACCUGCCUUGUAGCGGGGGAUAACUAUUGGAAACGAUAGCUAAUACCGCAUAACAAUGGAUGACACAUGUCAUUUAUUUGAAAGGGGCAAUUGCUCCACUACAAGAUGGACCUGCGUUGUAUUAGCUAGUAGGUGAGGUAAUGGCUCACCUAGGCGACGAUACAUAGCCGACCUGAGAGGAUGAUCGGCCACACUGGGACUGAGACAUGGCCCAGACUCCUACGGGAGGCAGCAGUAGGGAAUCUUCGGCAAUGGGGGCAACCCUGACCGAGCAACGCCGCGUGAGUGAAGAAGGUUUUCGGAUCGUAAAGCUCUGUUGUAAGUCAAGAACGGGUGUGAGAGUGGAAAGUUCACACUGUGACGGUAGCUUACCAGAAAGGGACGGCUAACUACGUG
rnacentral:rRNA from 1 species